AGCUCCAAUAGCGUAUAUUAAAGUUGUUGCGGUUAAAAAGCUCGUAGUUGGAUUUCGGCGGGCAGGGGGCGGUUCGAUCUUCGUCGCUACUGCCCCAUUUGCCCGUGAAUCUUUUGGCGGAGGUCGCGGGGUGCUCUUAAUCGGGUGUCCCGGGGCGCCGUCGGGUUUACUUUGAAAAAAUUAGAGUGCUCAAAGCAGGCUUCACACGCCUGGAUAUUCGUGCAUGGAAUAAUGGAAUAGGACGUCGUUUCUAUUUUGUUGGUUUUCGGAAAUCGACGUAAUGAUUAACAGGGACAGUCGGGGGCAUUAGUAUUCAGGCGACAGAGGUGAAAUUCUUGGACCGUCUGAAGACUGACGACUGCGAAAGCAUUUGCCAAGAAUGUUUUCAUUAAUCAAGAAC
rnacentral:rRNA from 1 species